ACACAUCUAAUCAUUUCCCUUUUUUUUCCUUGCCCUUUUCACCGUCAUAUACACUUCAUCUCCCACUGUAACGGAUAACCAAAUUUGUAUUCUUGAAAGUUUUAAUCAUCUCUAUUGCAGGCUUGCAGCUAAGUGUUCAAGUACAAUCUCUAGCCAAGUUCCCUUUGUUGUUGUGUUGUAUUUUGAGGAAAGGUGGUCGAGCAGCUCGUGACAUAUGUAUCGCGCCUGCUCUGCAGCUGCCUUGACCCGCCGCCGACGUCGCCGGUUGAGACGCAAGGGUGCAAGAUCAUCGUGGGGCCCAUUGCAUGGGCGCAAAGUAUGCUUGAUUGCCAUGUCGUAGGCGAAGUGUGACAAGUCGUGUGAGAUGAACAUGGUGAACCAUCUCAAUGUGAAGCCAAGUAUGUGGUGGAUUUUCCAUGGAUGAUGAAAGACUGGUAAGGGUAAAAGUUUGAGCUGCCAAAUUUUGUGUGACCGAGGUCCUGGACGGUCAAACCUAAAAAGUUCAGUGAAGAUUCAGGUUACACAUGGAUUCCUUUUUGUUGCCUACAAUGCUGUAAUCACGCUAACUAUGAGCAUGGUGUGUACCAGAGAUGAUUCAAAAAUUGCUUGCAGAUAGGCAGUUGGAUGUCAAGGAGGCCGAAGCCUGUUGUGCCAAAACUAACACAUUAGAAUCUUACAAUUUGCUGCUACCAUAUUUCAAUGUAAGAACACGAUGAUGCAAAGGAAUCUUAUUAUGUAGCCAUAUGUAAUCUCAAUUUGUUGCUAUGUAUAAACUAUGAUAGGAGUAGGAUCAUAUAGAUGUGUAUCCAUUUUUGCCUUCUACUGAUCUAUGACAAAGGGGAUGUGCUGGACUAAGUGGCCGUUGCUAUUGAAGCAAAGGAGCGGAAACUCGAAAUUUUCAACCAAUGGAGGUUAUCUUUCAUAUGGAUUUUAUUAUAGAUACUUGUAGAUGUGUGUCAGUUCCUUAGAUCAUGUUUGAUUCUUAAAAUUUUAGAUGUUUCAUGUAACCAUCAAUUAUGCUACUAGCAGUCCCUGUACAUUCUUUUUUACCUGUUCUAAAAAAUUAUCUCGGUUUAUGAGCACCACACAUUUUAAUGUAUAAGUAAGAUUAUGAGUUGAUCCAGUGCCGAAAACAAUUCA